rnacentral:rRNA from 1 species
AUAAUGGGUCAGCGACUUAUAUUCUGUAGCAAGGUUAACCGAAUAGGGGAGCCGAAGGGAAACCGAGUCUUAACUGGGCGUUAAGUUGCAGGGUAUAGACCCGAAACCCGGUGAUCUAGCCAUGGGCAGGUUGAAGGUUGGGUAACACUAACUGGAGGACCGAACCGACUAAUGUUGAAAAAUUAGCGGAUGACUUGUGGCUGGGGGUGAAAGGCCAAUCAAACCGGGAGAUAGCUGGUUCUCCCCGAAAGCUAUUUAGGUAGCGCCUCGUGAAUUCAUCUCCGGGGGUAGAGCACUGUUUCGGCAAGGGGGUCAUCCCGACUUACCAACCCGAUGCAAACUGCGAAUACCGGAGAAUGUUAUCACGGGAGACACACGGCGGGUGCUAACGUCCGUCGUGAAGAGGGAAACAACCCAGACCGCCAGCUAAGGUCCCAAAGUCAUGGUUAAGUGGGAAACGAUGUGGGAAGGCCCAGACAGCCAGGAUGUU